GGGGAGCAGCUUUUGGGAGCGUCCUUGAGCAAAGCGCCACGCCCCGCGAGGCAGGUGCACCCACCACUAGAAUUUGAACAUCCUAAGAACAGGUAUUUUUGUCUCUGCUUUGCUGAUGUAUCCUCAGCAACCGGAACUGCCUGACAUCUGAUCCUUUCUGUGAGACACCAGGCUGUUGAGGAAGAAUCUAUGGCAACAUUGUAUCUAUUAAUAUACAGCUUCUGUAUUUAUCAGGCCCAGUUCUGGUGAUGAUUUCACUUUUGACAGAAGCUGUCCCUCAAAAGCAAACAUGCAAUAGAAGAAACAGAUCUCAAUGCCAUCCAUCUGCAGUUGUGACAAGCAAAAAAGUCUCCAGACAUGGCCAAAUGUCCCCUGGGGGGCAAAAUCACCCCCAAUUGAGAACUACUGCUCUAAACUGUCUUGAUGGUCCUUUGGAAAGCCAUCCCUUGUUCGGCUUCAGUCCAAGGUUUUGAUGGCAAUGGUACUGAUCCUACUUCUGAGCUCCAGAGUUAAAUAUAAGACCUAGGCCUGACAAGAAUGUUCCAUCCUUUUGGCCACCAGACGACUCCGGGGUAUGGACAAAUGACAGAAGUCAGUAAUAAGAGAUGCCAUGUUGGGACUUAAGUGGAACUAUUAGAGAAGAAAGAUUCCCUUUGCACUGGGGUGGAGACAUGUAAGUCUAACAUGGCCAGAGGCUGCUCUGUACAAACAGGCAGAGGGCCUGCUUGAGCGAGAAGACCACACAGACAGCAAAUCCCAGAAACUGACGGCAAGAGAAACACAGACAGACCAAACCAGCCAAGUCCUGAUGUUCCAUCUUACAAAUUCAGCCAGGCCCAAUGCUCCUGAACUUCUCAAUUCCAUGAAUCAAACUUUUUUUUUUCCCCUUGAGCUUUAAGGCAUUUUGAAAUGGAUUUUUGUCAACUGCAAUAGAAAAGGGUUCUGAACAACAAAAGGGUUCUGGUGAUGAUAUUGCCAACUAUUUGGCCCAUAGCAGGCUUUCAACAAAUGUGAGUUCUCGUUCUCUUCCUUGGUCAAAGAAUGUGGGUCAAAUAGAAAGGACAGUGAUAGUACCUACCGUACAGAUCUGUUGUGAGAAUCACAUGAGUUGGUGCCACCCAAGUGCUUGGCACAGUGCCUGGCACUCAAAAGGACUCACUGAACAUUAGCACUAACACCACUGUACAGCGGGAGACUUGGAAGAGACAGAAUUCAGAGACCUUGAGUGUAGUUUUCCACUAUUUCAUGAACCUAUUAAGUUGUAGUAUCAACAACUUGGAGAAAACACACUCAAAAAUCAGAAUAACUGCAAAGGGCCAUUCCUUGGUUGUGGUAGAAAAUGCUGCCACAGUGAGCAGGUUUGAACCCCCCGGUGCCAGGCCUGCCUCCUGAAGAAAUGAUCCAGAAGGUUUUGAUCUGCCUCAAUGCUCUACUUAUGUCAAGUCUGUUUGCCAAUCAUCCAGUCUUACUGUGCCUCAAAAGGCAGAAGAAAAGCACUGUUGUUCUAGCUAAAAAACUGCAUUGCCAAAGGGAAACGCAUGUCUCCUCUGUAUUUACCAAUUUUCUAUGUGAGCUCCCCAAUGCUUUCUUCUUUCGCAUUAAUAAUAAUUUUUUAAAAGUUGGACAGAAAAAAGGUCCUUGUCCCCUCUAGGCUGUAUGCUUAGCCAACUCAUUCAUCCUAACACUAAUUUAAUUUUACUUUCCUUGCUCUAUAAGAAUUUUCUUUUUCACACUCAUUUUUUGUGCUACUGGGAGUAGGAAUUUGGUAAAAGCUCAAGUCCAGACUCUGUUGGAUGAAGUUUAAAGCUCUGGUUACUUUAAAUGAAGCUUUUGAUGAAAUA
ensembl:lncRNA PTPRG-AS1 PTPRG antisense RNA 1